rnacentral:rRNA from 1 species
UACGUAGGGGGCAAGCGUUGUCCGGAUUUAUUGGGCGUAAAGAGCUCGUAGGCGGUUCGACAAGUCGAAUGUGAAAUCUCCACGCUCAACGUGGAGGGGUCAUUCGAAACUGUCGUGACUUGAGUACGGUAGGGGAGUGUGGAAUUCCCGGUGUAGCGGUGAAAUGCGCAGAGAUCGGGAGGAACACCCGUAGCGAAGGCGGCACUCUGGGCCGAUACUGACGCUGAGGAGCGAAAGCGUGGGGAGCAAACAGG